rnacentral:rRNA from 1 species
GACGAACGCUGGCGGCGUGCUUAACACAUGCAAGUCGAACGGUGAAGCUCCAGCUUGCUGGAGUGGAUCAGUGGCGAACGGGUGAGUAACACGUGAGCAACCUGCCCCUGACUCUGGAAUAAGCGCUGGAAACGGCGUCUAAUACUGGAUACGAGAAGGGUCCGCAUGGGCACUUUCUGGAAAGUUUUUCGGUUGGGGAUGGGCUCGCGGCCUAUCAGCUUGUUGGUGAGGUAAUGGCUCACCAAGGCGACGUCGGGUAGCCGGCCUGAGAGGGCGACCGGCCACACUGGGACUGAGACACGGCCCAGACUCCUACGGGAGGCAGCAGUGGGGAAUAUUGCACAAUGGGCGAAAGCCUGAUGCAGCGACGCCGCGUGAGGGAUGACGGCCUUCGGGUUGUAAACCUCUUUCAGCAGGGAAGAAGCGAAAGUGACGGUACCUGCAGAAGAAGCACCGGCUAACUACGUG